GUGAAUAGAUCUCUCACAUAAAUAAGCUAAGAUAAGUCUAACUCUGAGUUAAUUUUUUUGAGGAGGUGAUAUUAAUUAAUUGUAAGGUUGAGGGGGGUAAAUUUGAAUGUCCUUACAAACUGUUCUAUAUCUAACCAUGUGUUGCCUGACUGAUUUUGCAAUGUGCCUACCAGAAAUGGUCAGUUUAUUUUUUAGAAGGCUUUUAGCUUUUUGACGACAGAAAUGGCAAAUCAUUACGAGAGACGAUUUUAAUUAUUCAAGAUUUUGUUGUUAUGAUUGUUAAAAAGGUUCUGACAAAAAUAGAGAAAACAAGAAAUCUUAAAGAAUACAAAAGAAGAGGCUUUAAACACAUUUUUUAAAUCAAAUAUUUAAUUCAAUUUGAUAUGGGUUGACGUGGUGCUGUGGUAGAGAGGGGGUGCUGGGAAGGUUGGCGGUUCGAGCCCCGGCUGCCCCAUAUUGAAGUGUCCCUGAGCAAGACAUCUGGCUUAUUAAAAUUGGCUACAUAUUGUUUUUGGUCCAUGAUCCUGGACAUUUCCAGCCGCAAACGUGUUCAGAUCAAAAGAUCUAUUCCACUGUCAUUAUGCUGUGCGGUCAAUGCUAAAUCACAUUUGAUGAUAUGUUUAUCCAAAGAUGUACAAGGUUCCUUGGACAAUAAUCAAGAAGUCAUUUGUCAUGCCAGUGAUGGCAGUCAUACAAUCAGGGCUUUUCUAACAGGAGUCAGCGAUGAUACUAUUGCUGGUUUGACAGUAUCCAUGACAACAGUACAAGGAAGGAUGCAGUGAUGAGACUGAUCUUGUGGCUUACUCCACUUGAAACCUCUGUAAUGAAUGAGAAAAAAAACAAGAUAUUACUUUUACAAAUAAAAAACAUAAAAUGUAAAAAAGAUUUGUAAGAUAUUAUUUAAUAUGUCUUACGUGAGCCAUCCACAACAAUGGAGUUCAGGUCAACAUUGAAGGCUGUGAUUGUUGAAGCUGCUUCAACCAAAACAUUUCCAAUCUGAGUGCCAUUAGGAACAGAAGUUGACGAAAAUCCAAGGUCCAUGUUGUUGAUGAUUGAUCCAUUACUGCAAAUGCAAUAACAAAAUGUAAUAUUGUUUAAUUUGUAUUAAUACAUGUGUAUUAUAAUCAGUGCUCUUAAGAUCAUAAAAUUAACAAAUUACCUGAAUGAGGUCACUGUUAAGGAGCGGAAUGUAGGGAAUGCUCUUAGAUAGAACGGCACCAGCUGCAGAAAUACAAGUAAAUUGUUCAAAUAAAGGUACUUGUAAAUUUAAUUUGGUUGUUUUUUCUUAAGCUGUGCAUUUUACUUUUGAUGAUUGUUUUUUUCCAAACUGCAACAGCAAGUUGUAACACUAUAACCUUUUUUUCAACAACUACUGGAUCGUUUAUCUGUCCUAUUCUCAAUGCAUGAAAACAUAAUUUAUUGUAAAUAGUUUCAGUACCAGGAAUAAAA
ensembl:lncRNA